rnacentral:lncRNA from 1 species
AAAAUAUUGACUCUUAUCGUUAAUAUUAAUAUAAGUAUUUAAAAUGAUGUUCCUUUAAAUUUAAGUAAUUGAUAAAAUUACAUGUCAGGUUCAAUUGAAACCAACUUCAAGCAAUUAAAAAAAAGUUAUGAUGCAUAAUACGGUCAAAGAAAGAUUAAAUAGACUCCAUGCGGUGAUGAAAAGAAAAUAAAUCUGAACUUGGAUUGAGUUUAAUCUCGUUUUCUUACUUUACAAAUUCGAACUCAUUCAUUAACAGAGGAAAGAUCUCAGACAUUUUCCUUACAAUUUGACUUUAUUACAACACUCGAAGAACGUCCAUUGUAUAGAAGGA